CCUUCGAUAGCUCAGUUGGUAGAGCGGUGGACUGUAGCACAGAUGUAUAUGUACUGGAAAUAGUAAUCCAUAGGUCGCUGGUUCAAAUCCGGCUCGAAGGA
rnacentral:tRNA from 1 species